rnacentral:lncRNA from 1 species
GUAGGGCUAUGUCUAACCAGAAUUUAUAGAAAGAUUAAAAGAUUCCCUAGGUGUAGCUAAAAGUUCAUUAUCUUCUUGAUUAAAAGAUAGGACCUCGGCUAUAGAAAAGGGUUGGUUUUGACCUAUUGCAAUCAACUCCGGACACAUAUCAUAAUUAGGGGAAAAGAAAGGACUUGUUGACUCCCAUGGUCUAUGGCUAGUCUACGAAGGUGAAAAAUUUUCAAUAAUAGGUGUGGAAUUUGAGUUAUCCAUAAAGAUGGAAAAAAUAAAAAGAUAAAAGAAUAAAAGUAUAAUACAAGAUAAUAGCAAGACUCAAAGUUAUCUCAGCAAACCGUCGUUUUUCCCGGCAACGGCACCAGAAAUGUUUGUUGAUAUUUGUUAACGCCAUCAGAAAAUGAUCCGCAAGCGCACGGAUAUCGGUGAGCAUUUCACCCGGGAGGUUAUCUAGAGUAUCGUAUUUAUAUUUUUACCACUGGGAGAAAGCGUUCAUCCGACUAACCAAAUCUAUUGCAACUACCCUUUAGGCUAGAAACUAUGUGAUUCGAUGUGAGCGAUGUAUAGAGAAGACUACAACCGCACUCUUGUUCUAACCUUGGUAAGGAUGAUCUACUGUUCUAUUGGGGAGGCC